GAUGAACGCUGGCGGCGUGCUUAACACAUGCAAGUCGAACGGUGAAAGAGAGCUUGCUCUCUGGAUCAGUGGCGAACGGGUGAGUAACACGUGAGCAAUCUGCCCCUGACUCUGGGAUAAGCGCUGGAAACGGCGUCUAAUACCGGAUACGAGCUGCGAAGGCAUCUUCAGCAGCUGGAAAGAACUUCGGUCAGGGAUGAGCUCGCGGGCUAUCAGGUAGUUGGUGAGGUAAUGGCUCACCAAGGCGUCGACGGGUAGCCGGCCUGAGAGGGUGACCGGCCACACUGGGACUGAGACACGGGCCAGACUCCUACGGGAGGGAGGAGUGGGGAAUAUUGCACAAUGGGCGCAAGCCUGAUGCAGCAACGCCGCGUGAGGGACGACGGCCUUCGGGUUGUAAAACUCUUUUAGCAGGGAAGAAGCGAAAGUGACGGUACCUACAGAAAAAGCACCGGCUAACUACGUGCCAGCCGCCGCCGUAACAC
rnacentral:rRNA from 1 species